GUGCCUGUAGCUCAGCUGGAUAGAGCAUCGGCCUUCUAAGCCGAGGGUCGGGGGUUCGAAUUCCUCCAGGCACA
rnacentral:tRNA from 1 species